rnacentral:rRNA from 1 species
UUAAGCGACUAAGCGUACACGGUGGAUGCCCUGGCAGUCAGAGGCGAUGAAGGACGUGCUAAUCUGCGAUAAGCGUCGGUAAGGUGAUAUGAACCGUUAUAACCGGCGAUUUCCGAAUGGGGAAACCCAGUGUGAUUCGUCACACUAUCAUUAACUGAAUCCAUAGGUUAAUGAGGCGAACCGGGGGAACUGAAACAUCUAAGUACCCCGAGGAAAAGAAAUCAACCGAGAUUCCCCCAGUAGCGGCGAGCGAACGGGGAGGAGCCCAGAGCCUGAAUCAGUGUGUGUGUUAGUGGAAGCGUCUGGAAAGGCGCGCGAUACAGGGUGACAGCCCCGUACACAAAAAUGCACAUGCUGUGAGCUCGAUGAGUAGGGCGGGACACGUGGUAUCCUGUCUGAAUAUGGGGGGACCAUCCUCCAAGGCUAAAUACUCCUGACUGACCGAUAGUGAACCAGUACCGUGAGGGAAAGGCGAAAAGAACCCCGGCGAGGGGAGUGAAAAAGAACCUGAAACCGUGUACGUACAAGCAGUGGGAGCACGCUUAGGCGUGUGACUGCGUACCUUUUGUAUAAUGGGUCAGCGACUUAUAUUCUGUAGCAAGGUUAACCGAAUAGGGGAGCCGAAGGGAAACCGAGUCUUAACUGGGCGUUAAGUUGCAGGGUAUAGACCCGAAACCCGGUGAUCUAGCCAUGGGCAGGUUGAAGGUUGGGUAACACUAACUGGAGGACCGAACCGACUAAUGUUGAAAAAUUAGCGGAUGACUUGUGGCUGGGGGUGAAAGGCCAAUCAAACCGGGAGAUAGCUGGUUCUCCCCGAAAGCUAUUUAGGUAGCGCCUCGUGAAUUCAUCUCCGGGGGUAGAGCACUGUUUCGGCAAGGGGGUCAUCCCGACUUACCAACCCGAUGCAAACUGCGAAUACCGGAGAAUGUUAUCACGGGAGACACACGGCGGGUGCUAACGUCCGUCGUGAAGAGGGAAACAACCCAGACCGCCAGCUAAGGUCCCAAAGUCAUGGUUAAGUGGGAAACGAUGUGGGAAGGCCCAGACAGCCAGGAUGUUGGCUUAGAAGCAGCCAUCAUUUAAAGAAAGCGUAAUAGCUCACUGGUCGAGUCGGCCUGCGCGGAAGAUGUAACGGGGCUAAACCAUGCACCGAAGCUGCGGCAGCGACACUAUGUGUUGUUGGGUAGGGGAGCGUUCUGUAAGCCUGUGAAGGUGUGCUGUGAGGCAUGCUGGAGGUAUCAGAAGUGCGAAUGCUGACAUAAGUAACGAUAAAGCGGGUGAAAAGCCCGCUCGCCGGAAGACCAAGGGUUCCUGUCCAACGUUAAUCGGGGCAGGGUGAGUCGACCCCUAAGGCGAGGCCGAAAGGCGUAGUCGAUGGGAAACAGGUUAAUAUUCCUGUACUUGGUGUUACUGCGAAGGGGGGACGGAGAAGGCUAUGUUGGCCGGGCGACGGUUGUCCCGGUUUAAGCGUGUAGGCUGGUUUUCCAGGCAAAUCCGGAAAAUCAAGGCUGAGGCGUGAUGACGAGGCACUACGGUGCUGAAGCAACAAAUGCCCUGCUUCCAGGAAAAGCCUCUAAGCAUCAGGUAACGUCAAAUCGUACCCCAAACCGACACAGGUGGUCAGGUAGAGAAUACCAAGGCGCUUGAGAGAACUCGGGUGAAGGAACUAGGCAAAAUGGUGCCGUAACUUCGGGAGAAGGCACGCUGAUAUGUAGGUGAAGCGACUUGCUCGUGGAGCUGAAAUCAGUCGAAGAUACCAGCUGGCUGCAACUGUUUAUUAAAAACACAGCACUGUGCAAACACGAAAGUGGACGUAUACGGUGUGACGCCUGCCCGGUGCCGGAAGGUUAAUUGAUGGGGUCAGCGCAAGCGAAGCUCUUGAUCGAAGCCCCGGUAAACGGCGGCCGUAACUAUAACGGUCCUAAGGUAGCGAAAUUCCUUGUCGGGUAAGUUCCGACCUGCACGAAUGGCGUAAUGAUGGCCAGGCUGUCUCCACCCGAGACUCAGUGAAAUUGAACUCGCUGUGAAGAUGCAGUGUACCCGCGGCAAGACGGAAAGACCCCGUGAACCUUUACUAUAGCUUGACACUGAACAUUGAGCCUUGAUGUGUAGGAUAGGUGGGAGGCUUUGAAGUGUGGACGCCAGUCUGCAUGGAGCCGACCUUGAAAUACCACCCUUUAAUGUUUGAUGUUCUAACGUUGACCCGUGAUCCGGGUUGCGGACAGUGUCUGGUGGGUAGUUUGACUGGGGCGGUCUCCUCCUAAAGAGUAACGGAGGAGCACGAAGGUUGGCUAAUCCUGGUCGGACAUCAGGAGGUUAGUGCAAUGGCAUAAGCCAGCUUGACUGCGAGCGUGACGGCGCGAGCAGGUGCGAAAGCAGGUCAUAGUGAUCCGGUGGUUCUGAAUGGAAGGGCCAUCGCUCAACGGAUAAAAGGUACUCCGGGGAUAACAGGCUGAUACCGCCCAAGAGUUCAUAUCGACGGCGGUGUUUGGCACCUCGAUGUCGGCUCAUCACAUCCUGGGGCUGAAGUAGGUCCCAAGGGUAUGGCUGUUCGCCAUUUAAAGUGGUACGCGAGCUGGGUUUAGAACGUCGUGAGACAGUUCGGUCCCUAUCUGCCGUGGGCGCUGGAGAACUGAGGGGGGCUGCUCCUAGUACGAGAGGACCGGAGUGGACGCAUCACUGGUGUUCGGGUUGUCAUGCCAAUGGCACUGCCCGGUAGCUAAAUGCGGAAGAGAUAAGUGCUGAAAGCAUCUAAGCACGAAACUUGCCCCGAGAUGAGUUCUCCCUGACUCCUUGAGAGUCCUGAAGGAACGUUGAAGACGACGACGUUGAUAGGCCGGGUGUGUAAGCGCAGCGAUGCGUUGAGCUAACCGGUACUAAUGAACCGUGAGGCUUAACCU